CGGUGUUCCGGUGUUAGUGGCUAGCUUGCCGGUGAUAUUUUGAGCAGUGUGCCGUUACGGAGCCGACAUGAGCUGCAUUAUUCAUGUCUCUCUGCGGGUCUGACAAGGGCCUCGGCUCACGGUGGGCUUUUUUAAGAUAACGGGACCUCGCGGCUGUUUAACGGCCGGGGUUUUACCCCGUUAGUGUCCGUUUAACGCAGUAAUGAGCGUUUUUCCUCCUCACGCCAUUUAGUCCAACAUUAAACAUGAACGCGCAGCGCGGCACCAAAGCUGUAGCUGAUGUUUGCCCCGGAGUCGUGCUCGCGAGAGGACUGGGACCAGUGAACCCAGUAUGCGAAACUGGACAGGGAUGCUUAGCUAACUGAGGAUAACAUGGGCAGUCCACUGUGCGCCCAGCAGGGGGCGCUGUGGGAGGGCCCUCAAUGAUUUCCACCGGUUUCCACACAAAAACACGCUAGUUCCCACAAAUCCAGAAUCAGUACUGUGAACUGAAACAAAUCAACUGUAAUGAUCAAUAUUUUAUUCACUGUGACGCUGAUUUUUGCCCACAAAACACUAGCAUUCGGCUAACACGUGCUGAUUGGUGAGUUUUAGAAUAGGACGUCCUCUCUCGAUGGCGUUCUUUUCCAGGUGAUGCCUCCUGCAGGUGUUACCGUCGUAGUUACUAUCAAGAAGCAGACGGUGGUUGAAGUGUUUGAAGGUGAUGCUAACUGCUGCUGGCUUCAUGCCCCAAAUCAAAAUGGAGGAUGUAUUAAAGUGGCUUGUGGUGCUCACAGAAAGCUCCAUAGAGCUCCAUUCAUCCAGGAUGAGCUCGAGAGUGCCCUCUGUGGAGCAGGAAGAGAACAGCUGCUCUUUCAUCCGCCGUGCUCGCAGUUCUGUCCUCGUUAGUGACUUUAACGAGCAGAGAAAACAAAGUUUGAACACACCAAAUAACACUGACAACCAGAGCAUGAUACUGCAUCGUACACCUUUUGUCUGUCGUAAGGUUUUACAUGUCAGGACAUCAGAAAAAAAUAGGUGUUAAAAUUAAGAAAAUACAACCUCAGAUGAACAACACGUUGUACAUUACACAGUAAUUAUUUAACAAAAAGACCAAAUCCAGAAGUAUUGUAGCUCCUCCUUCAGCAGCAGUAACCUGCAGUGAUCGGUCUGUGUCAUCACUGUGGGCGAGCUUUGGUCCGCUCUUCUUCAGGUCGUUGAGGUUUGCAGCAUUCGUUCAUGCACAGCUCUCUGAGCUCUGCAGCAGCUCCGUUCUUUCCUUUUUCAGCCGUUCCAUUGGAUCUUUGUCCUGUUGAUGACCCAGUUUGGUCCCAGCUUUAUCUGUGGGGCAGCCGGCCUCACACUGACUCUGGGACAGUUUGGAGUUCAUGGUGCGCUCAGAUCAUCAUCCCUCCUCCACCGUGCUCACAGCUGCUAGCUGUUUGUUUCUUCCAAACGUGCUGCUGCGCAUGUUGGAGAAACAUCUGCACUCUGGUCUCGUCUCAGAGCACAUCGUUCCUGUUCAGUUCCUUUGAGCACUGCACGCUCUGAUCCUGGGGUGAAUUUGCUGCAUCCACUGCUGGCAGAAUGUGGAUCCACCCUGUUCUCUCCUAUAGAAGCAGCGAGGGUGGAGGUUUCACACAGUUUCUGUAUUUUGACCUAUUUUCCCUUAAAUGAAUACUGACUAAGUUUAAUAUGUCACUUUUUUUUUACGGUUGUAUUUAAAUCAUUUUAAACUAGCUAAGGACUGGAGUAAUAGUAUUAUGUUCUGCUCACUUUCCUACUUUCUUUUGACUGUGACUGUUUCUGCUAAUAUUCGUAGGGGAGCACUGAUCAAACGUUUCUCAGUCCGGAUGCUGACACCUUGUAUUUGAGUUCCUGACGUAAAAUAAAGUAAUAAAUGACGAGAGGAGCAUGAUAAAUAAAAUAAAAAAACAACCUAUG